rnacentral:rRNA from 1 species
AGCGAACGCUGGCGGCAGGCUUAACACAUGCAAGUCGAGCGGGCAUCUUCGGAUGUCAGCGGCAGACGGGUGAGUAACACGUGGGAACGUACCCUUCGGUUCGGAACAACUCUGGGAAACUGGAGCUAAUACCGGAUACGCCCUUAUGGGGAAAGGUUUACUGCCGAAGGAUCGGCCCGCGUCUGAUUAGCUAGUUGGUGGGGUAACGGCCUACCAAGGCGACGAUCAGUAGCUGGUCUGAGAGGAUGAUCAGCCACACUGGGACUGAGACACGGCCCAGACUCCUACGGGAGGCAGCAGUGGGGAAUAAUGGAAAAUGGGCGCAAGACUGAUCCAGCCAUGCCGCGUGAGUGAUGAAGGCAUUAGGGUUGUAAAGCUCUUUUGUCCGGGACGAUAAUGACGGUACCGGAAGAAUAAGCCCCGGCUAACUUCGUG